rnacentral:rRNA from 1 species
UACGUAGGGUGCAAGCGUUGUCCGGAAUUAUUGGGCGUAAAGAGCUCGUAGGCGGUUUGUCGCGUCUGCUGUGAAAAUCCAGGGCUUAACCCUGGACCUGCAGUGGGUACGGGCAGACUAGAGUGCGGUAGGGGAGAUCGGAAUUCCUGGUGUAGCGGUGAAAUGCGCAGAUAUCAGGAAGAACACCAAUGGCGAAAGCAGCUCUCUGGGACGGUACUGACGCUGAGACGCGAAAGCGUGGGGAGCGAACAGG